rnacentral:rRNA from 1 species
UGGGGAAUUUUGGACAAUGGGCGAAAGCCUGAUCCAGCAAUGCCGCGUGUGUGAAGAAGGCCUUCGGGUUGUAAAGCACUUUUGUCCGGAAAGAAAUCCUUGGCUCUAAUACAGUCGGGGGAUGACGGUACCGGAAGAAUAAGCACCGGCUAACUACGUGCCAGCAGCCGCGGUAAUACGUAGGGUGCAAGCGUUAAUCGGAAUUACUGGGCGUAAAGCGUGCGCAGGCGGUUUGCUAAGACCGAUGUGAAAUCCCCGGGCUCAACCUGGGAACUGCAUUGGUGACUGGCAGACUAGAGUAUGGCAGAGGGGGGUAGAAUUCCACGUGUAGCAGUGAAAUGCGUAGAGAUGUGGAGGAAUACCGAUGGCGAAGGCAGCCCCCUGGGCCAAUACUGACGCUCAUGCACGAAAAGCGUGGGGAGCAAAACAGGAUUAGAUGCCCUGGUAGUCCACGCCCUAAACGAUGUCAACUAGUUGUUGGGGAUUCAUUUCCUUAGUAACGUAGCUAACGCGUGAAGUUGACCGCCUGGGGAGUACGGUCGCAAGAUUAAAACUCAAAUGAAUUGACGGGGUCAUAGCUGUUUCCU